GGAAAGGAGCCAUUUCUGAAGUGCUGCUUAAGCCAUUUAGCUCACUUCAGGUGAAAGAAAACAUCUUGAACAACAACACGCUCACACUACGCGGUAGCUAGUGCUGGGGAGAGAGAGGAUCCCGGUGAGGAUGACGGUGGAAGAGGAAGCUGCAUGAAAUUCCCAUAGCACCUUCGUAAAUACGAGUGCAAAGAGCCUGCAGGCCUGGCUUAGAAAGUAUUUCAUGGUCAGUGGAAAAAAAUGAGGAAGAGGAGGGUGUGGUUGCUGCUUAGAGGAUCUGGCCCUGCAAACGGGCUCUGGCUUGUGGAGAUGCGGUCCUUCGACGUGACCAGAUGAAGACUCCUUAUAGCCGCCCAUUGUUGCUGCCGGGGCGCUGGCAGCCGGGGGGCAGUUUGUGGCACGGGCGGAGGAGCGGGAGAAGCCGCCGCCGCCGCCGGUUGCUAGGUAAGGACCGCCUUCCCCUCCUCUCCCCGGGCCUUGUGCGAGGGCCAGACGUGCCACCCCGGCUCCCUCAAGUGCCUUCUUGCCUGCCUUUUCCAGGAGACCCAGGAGCUGCAAGGUGA
rnacentral:lncRNA from 1 species